GAGAACUACUAGCCACUGCUUAAAACUCAAAGGACUUGACGGUGCCCUAGACCCUCCUAGAGGAGCCUGUUCUAUAAUCGAUAAACCCCGAUACACCUCACCCCUUCUCGCUUAUCAGUCUAUAUACCGCCAUCAUCAGCUCAUCCCAAUAGGGUCCCAAAGUGAGCAAAAUCAUGAAACCAUAAAAACGUUAGGUCAAGGUGUAGCAUAUGAAGGGGGAAGCAAUGGGCUACAUUUUCUAUAUUAGAACACAACGGAUUGUCUAUUGAAAUAAAGACACAAAGGAGGAUUUAGUAGUAAAUUAAGAAUAGAGAGCUUAGUUGAAAUAGGCAAUAGGGUGUGUACACACCACCUGUCACCCUCCUCAAUAAAGUAACCUUUAAUACCUAAUUAGAAUACGCCAAAAAGAGGAGAAAAGUCUUAACAUGGUAAGUGUACUGGAAAGUGCACUUG
rnacentral:ncRNA from 1 species